rnacentral:lncRNA from 1 species
CGCAAAUUAUUUUUCUGAACUCAAAUAUUAGCGACAAAUGUAGAUUAGCCACGAGACACUACAUCUUUACCGGCAAUUAAUAAGAAACAGCCAAUAAAGAUGAUACAACUUACGAGAAAGCAAAAUUUUGUUAUUUCACUUUCCCUCUAUUAUCGUUUUCCGUAAAAAAAAAGUGUUGCUUACCCAUUCACCAAAACGAAUGCAAACACCCAAAUCAAAGGAAGAACCCUAAUCAUCGGCAACGCCCAACUCGUUUCUCUCUCUAAUCUCGAUGUUUUCUCUUGCUGGACCUUUUUAUGAAACGAUCGGUCUCUACUAUCAUAGUUCCGUCGGCCCUCCCCUUCCCGCUCUCACAAUGGUCUCGCAACUCUCAAGGUAAGCUCGACUAUGUUAGAGCUUUCGUGCUGUUGAUUGAUAAACAUUUAAAGCAUUUGUUCUGUAUUUAGAACUAUAAAAAUUUCAAAUCCCUAAAUUUUAAUUGAUUGUCAUACUUCAAUUUUACCAAAAUUUAAUUGGAACCCCUUUGUUUCUCUAGAGAUGUUGGUUUAAACGAAUGUUUAUAUUCUCUUGAUUUUUUAUUCAUAAUGUGCCUCAAGUUGUUAUGUUUUUAAUCUUUCCUGCCUUACUACAUGUAUUUGAAGGAAUUUAAAGUGCACCUUUCUCUGGUUUUGUUGCUUAGCCUUAUAUGGAGCAUCAUAGAGUAGCAAAGUAUAUUGCGAUCGGGAGUAAAGUAUGCAUUUACAAUUUUUUGCUUAAUACUAAGACCGUUUUUAGUUCAAUUGGUAGUUAUUGACAAGAAUACUUAAUAUUACAGUUCUGUUAGUUUUGAUACUAUUUUCUAUAGUUCUAUAACCAAAUUGUCGAAUAUUAAGUGCACAUUAUGAUUUAUUACUAAGAGAAUAUGUAUGGAUGUCGCUACUGCUAGAAAGAAAAGAUACUUUAGUUUUUCUAAAAGUCGAGAUUUAAUGAAGUUACAUUCAAGAUCAAGUAUCAAAUUAAACUUGAGUAUAGCAUUUUCUAUAGAUUACUUUAUAAAUGAACAAACCAGAUCUCGUGGGAAAAGAAACUAGAAAAUUAUAAAUAAUAGUUAAAAUUAUAUCUAGAUAUAGCUAGAAUAGAAUAGUGAGUUGCACUAAUUCGAAUUUCUAAAGUUCUAGUUCUCCUUUUUGGAACUUUUCCAUUUUAUUUUUGCUUGGUUAGUCUAUCACUAAUAUUCUUUUGUUGCAAAAGAAUAAAAAGAUUGUGUUUAGAAAAUAUAUCGGUAGAUUUCAGAUAUCUUAUUCUUUUUUUUGUAUUCAAAUCCUUUUUCUCUGGCUUCUUUGUUUCUUAAUUCAUGUGCAAAGCCAUCAUGCUAUUGGUAUGCUACACCAGAUCGUUAACAAUGACAACCUCUAAAUGUGGCAAAUGACAAUACUCAACCUAUAAGAUAUAACAAAAUCUUUUUCGUUAUCUUAUGUAGUUUCAAAUGCAACUUAUGUGUGUCUUGUCUUUCAUAUUAACCUGUUUCAAUUUUCAGUUAGCAGUACAAAAUUCUGAUUUCUUCUAAUCGACAACAAUUGUUGCAACUGAGAUGGCUCUUGGCAAAGAUGGUACUGACGCUUUAGUCAGAGUUUGCGUUGUCAACCCUAAUUUAGAGGUACUUUUAAGGCAUGUGCGUUGUGAAAAUUGUAUAUUUAGCACACAAAGCUACUUUGGCGGACACUUCUAUCUCGUAUUAAUUUCAAACAUUUUUAAUGUCAAGUUACUAUUCAUGCAUUAUUGGUUAAACUCAAUUAGUUCUUGAAUCCUAACUAUAGCAAAUUACAAAAUUGAGACUAUGAAUAUUAACUGGUAAAGAUUGAGAUGAAUUUCUUGUUCAUUGGAUAAUGUACAUGUAUAAUGGUUUGAUUUACAUUGUCCAGUCAUACAUAUAGUUUUUAAUUUGAAUUUUCUUUGUGCUAGAUCUGGAGAUCCAUGAAGAAGCUUUGAUCACAUAGAACCAUAUUGCUUUGCCACAGUUAUGUAAUGACCUCCAAGUUAAGUUGCAACUCCCUUUGACUAAAAUUCAAUUUCAUGGUGCGUACCUACUAGAAUAUGGAAUGCACUAUACUUAUAGUGAUAAUCUUUUUUUCUGAAGAAUAUUUUAUGUCACAAGUUAUCUAAGUGAAUGGUAUUGUUACUUUACAAGAGUUUUUAGUAGUUUGUGUUACCCUAUGAACUGUGAAAGAAUGAAUCUCCUCAUAAUUGCCCGGAAGAUGCUAAUGAAACUUGUUCUUUUCAAAAUUGAGCGUAAAUUUGAUAAUAUCAUACCAUUUGUUGGAUAGAACUAGUGAAGAAAAAUAUUUUACUAAAUUGUUUUUUUUGCUUCUUGACAGAUCAAUCUCAAACUGUCGCUGAAUGCCCUCAUUCUUUAUUUUAGGUGCAAGAGCCAGAGAUGGUAAAGCUGCUUGUUCAGGAUACGACUAGGUGUUCAUAGUCAAGUUAUAAUAACAUAAAUCCUAGAGACUUCACUGUGCAAGUUAAGGUUAGGAGUGUCUUGACCUACUCUUUCUAUCAAGUCGUUAGUUAAAGAUUAUAUUGAUGUGCAUGUUUCUUGUGCUGUUUUAAUUGUUCUGCGAUUUUGUGAUGAUUAACAUCAGUUACAUGUCUUGUGUUGCGACCAAAAACACUCACGCAAGUGCACGUGAUCGUCAAGU